UAGUGAGUUGUAAGAGGAUGGUUUUUAUUUGUAAGUGUGGUUGCAUAUUAACAUAUUAAAUAUCAAGUGGCUAAAUGGGAGUUUUAGUCACGAGUGUGCGUGUUUAACAACAUUUAAUUCUUUAACUUUAUUUCCUCGUUAAUUUUUUUGUACUUAAACUUUUUAUUUUAAAUCUUCAACAUUCGCACGCAUACUACUGAAAAAUGUAAGGUUAUAAAUGCCGCGUCGCACCGACCUGAGCAGCGUCAGCGCAAACUUUGACUUGUUUGACUAACAGCACAUAGCAUUUCAUAUGUUCUUGUGUUGCACCGUAGGUAAAUGCGUAGGCGCAAACUAAAGCCCGUGACUAAAGUACUUUACUGUCCUUGGCCAUUCGUGUUUAAAAUACUACUACUAAAAUACUGCUGCAUCGUAGGCAAAUGCGCUAGCGCAUACUCCACCCCGUGACUAAAGCCCGUGACUAAAGUACUUGACCGUCCUUGGCCAUUCGUGUUUAAAAUACUACUUUUUGUGUCUCAAAACCAUGGAAAACCCCGCGUUUGUUCCUGUGCAAGUUUGAUCUCUACCAAGAAAAGCCUAGAACCUGGUAUCACAUCAAUAUUAUCUUAUCAGUGUAUGCAUAUCUAAAAAUGCGCAAUAAUGACUAAUAUUGAAUGCAUCAUUUAUAAACUCAAUUCUGACUAUAGUACGAGUAGAUAUACAAAAUUGCUACCUACAUUGUGCAACAUGACUAAACUACUAAUUAUUCUGUGCUUCUGCUUUACUGCAUCCUAUGCAUUUGAUAUUAACACGCAUAUUAAAAGUAGCAUCUUCAAAAAGCAACUAGCUUUGCAAUAUGACGCUGACGAGGCGCAGGUAAACGCAUGCAUCGAUUCUUUUAUAAACGAACUUAUUCUGAUAAUAAUGGUCGAUGCAAUGCGCGUAAGCAAUUGCGUGAAAGACAUCGAUAUGGCCGAUGAGUUAAGCACAUUCUUUGACACAAUGGGUGAGUCAUUAGUUGAUGUUUUCCCGAAGAUUGAGACACAAUUCACGGAACUGAUGCAACUUGCAAUGGAGACGAAUGAUUUACGCGGAAUUGUAUCGGCAACCCGUAAAUCACUCUCACUUGUGAUGCAAAUAUACGAAGUACUUUUCCAAGAAUUCGGUGCAUUUAUUGACAAUUUGGUUGAUAUAAUCGAAGAAGAGAAUGCUGGACCUUGUGUUACAAAAUCCGUAGGCAAGUUGAUACUUAACUACAUAGAGAAAAUCCAGGAGAUGCUAGAGUGUAUUAAGAAACCAAAAUUUCAAAAAGAGUGGAGAAUGCCACGUGAUCAAUUGUAAUCAAUAAAUAAAUACAUGUAGUAAAUAUAUACCUGAUAGUAA